UCUUGGAAAUAAAAAGAGAAUCUACCGGAGUACUAUGAACAAAAAUUUAAAACUCAAAGAGCUUGGCGGUGCUUUAGACUUUUCAGGGGAACCUGUCUUAUAAUCGACAAUCCACGAUAUACCUGACCCUUUUUUGCAUACAAUUUGUAUACCGUCGUCGUCAGGUAACUUUUAAAAAUUUUAACAGUUAGCAAAAAAGUUUUUAAUAAACUUAAACGUCAGAUCAAGGUGCAAUUAAUAAAGGGGGCAAGAUGGGUUACAAUUAUGAAAUAAUAAUACGAAAAAUUAGCUGAAAUGUUGCUUCAAAGGAGGACUUGAAAGUAAAUUACUUUAUAUAUAAUAAUUGAAUAAAGCUCUGAAGCGUGC
rnacentral:rRNA from 1 species